UACCAAAAAAAGAAUGUUGGGGUGAUC
rnacentral:piRNA from 1 species